rnacentral:rRNA from 1 species
AUUGAACGCUGGCGGCAGGCCUAACACAUGCAAGUCGAGCGGAUGAAGGGAGCUUGCUCCUGGAUUCAGCGGCGGACGGGUGAGUAAUGCCUAGGAAUCUGCCUGGUAGUGGGGGAUAACGUCCGGAAACGGGCGCUAUACCGCAUACGUCCUGAGGGAGAAAGUGGGGGAUCUUCGGACCUCACGCUAUCAGAUGGGCCUAGGUCGGAUUAGCUAGUUGGUGGGGUAAAGGCCUACCAAGGCGACGAUCCGUAACUGGUCUGAGAGGAUGAUCAGUCACACUGGAACUGAGACACGGUCCAGACUCCUACGGGAGGCAGCAGUGGGGAAUAUUGGACAAUGGGCGAAAGCCUGAUCCAGCCAUGCCGCGUGUGUGAAGAAGGUCUUCGGAUUGUAAAGCACUUUAAGUUGGGAGGAAGGGCAGUAAGUUAAUACCUUGCUGUUUUGACGUUACCAACAGAAUAAGCACCGGCUAACUUCGUG